CGCAUUUAUCAUCCUGUUCCUGUAUAACAGGAGUUUGUUUUUCUAGAGGCAUCUUAUCUUUAGUGUCAGCUAGAGGAGCAUCUGUUUCCUCACUUGUGGGCUUGUCCUCAGCAGUUAGGUCCUUGCAGAGGACCUGGAGCCUGCGGGCAGGGCUGCAGCCAGAGCCUAAGACCCAGGACGGAGUCAGAUCACAGGCACUAGGGGUGGAGGUCACGUCGGGCAGUCAGAUCGCAGGCACUAGGGGUGGAGGUCAUGUCGGGCAGAGUCAGAUCGCAGGCACUAGGGGUGGAGGUCACGUCGGGCCGAGUGCGCUGCAGUCAGAAGAGGAGCUGUGUCCCGCAUACGGUGAUUGUAAGCCAGGUCCAUGCCACCAAGAGCUGGAGCUGUGGAGUAGUACUUGGUCCCCAGAAAAGCCCUCAGUCUGAGGUCCACAUUUCUUCUUAAUGUGGGCAGAAAUAAUUGCUGAUGCUUGUGGUGGUUGAGAAUCCUCAGCUGCAGUUCCUUUAACAGUUGCUGUGGGAA
rnacentral:lncRNA from 1 species